rnacentral:lncRNA from 1 species
AAGACAAGAUGAUUUCACUGGAAGCUGAGUUUUGCCAGCUUUGGGGAAAUGCUGAUGCAGAACAUCAUUUAUUUAAGGCUGAUACUCAUGGAUAGAAGAGUCAAAGUGCGAAUAUAUGCACCCUUCUAUACGGAUUCUGCAGAAAGAUAUGCUUGGGUCAUGACUCAGGUGAAUUUCCUAUGAAACUUUGUCUUUGGUAAAGCAUCCCAUUCUUGGCUGUUCCAUAUAUAUAUAUAUGGGUAUAUUUCUUCCUCUUAAAGUGUACCUUCCCUGGAGCUUCAGCCUAAUGCCUGAGGUCCUCAGUGAGGUCCCUCCAUUCUUCCUAUCUAAGCUGAAACUUCAACAUCUUCAGGAGUGUGUGACACCUGGUAUGUCUGCUCAGUUCUGAGCUCUGUAGUGACUCCACUGUUGUGUUUUGGAAAACUUGUCAUGUGCACAUGAAUAAUUUAAUCUUAGAUUAUUAAAUUAUUGACUUUAAUACCGCAUGCUUAACUAAGAUAAUUAACAUCAGAAUAUCAUCUAAGAUUUGUCUUCUUAAAAAUCAAGUUUUACCAGAAUCUUAAUAUGAAUUAUAAAAUUAAUGAUUUUAUUGGGACAGUUUUAGAGAUCUGAUACUUAUUUGUAAUUUGCAAAUAUUCUAAGAUGUUGGUCAUUAGAGAACAUAUAUGAAUAAGUGCAUGUGGUAGUUAGGAGAGUGGAAAUGAAUACAAACUAUUAAUGGGUUGUUGCAGAAUAUUCUGACCUUACUGAAUAAACACACAAUACAUAUGCGCACACAUUCAUAGAAUCAGAAAGUCAUGAAAAGGCUGAAUGUAAAACAAAGAGCAUGAGAGACCCAUGUUCUUAAAUUCUAUUAGUACUAAAACUUCCAGUUAACAUUGUAGAAACAUAUAUAUUAGAGAAUUAUGAAUAAACACAGUCCUUGACGUAUGCACAAUCUGAGUUGAUCAAAGGACACUGGCAGAAACAUUAAAAAACUGUGUAAGAUAUUUCACUGCAAUUUUAUAAAUUUCUUCAGUAUAGUAGUAGUGUUUUCCUACUCAUUACAGGAUCUGGGGCCAUCUGCUUUUAAAAUAAUACCUUGCACAUAAUGGGAGAUCUUUACAUAAAGUUUGAAUAAAUUAAGGAAGAAUUAAUUAGCAAGUCCAUUCCUGCUAUGUCAUUUAAGCAAUUUUUUAUUCAUCAAAACAUACUACUUCAAGCUAAUAUUAAAUGGUUUAUAUUCAUGAAACCAUGGGCUAUUACUUAAUUCCUAGAAUUUACCUGCAAAAAAUCAUUGAUUUAUACACUAUACAAGGUAAUAUUCUGGUUCAUUCUCUGGAACAAAUUGCAACUUAAUUGAAAAUAGUAUGAAAGCUAGUAAGUAUAAUUCAAGUGAAAAGCCUUAAAUUCCAUAAGAAUUAAGAACCUUUGGUAAUUAAUAUACCAAACUUUUGGUAUUUGAAAGUGAAAAGAUGUAUUCCUUUAAGAAAAAUAAUAAAGUUGUCAAGAUGAGGAAGAAUUAAACGUACGUAAUAUUGGGCCCUAAUAGAUGAGUGAUGAUAACAGAAAGUAACGUCAAUCAAGACAACAGAACAGUAUGGGGUGUUUUCAGGGAGUAUUAUUUAAUCAACCUGGCGUUCUAAUGAUAGUGACUAUGAAUUAGCAACCUUACUUUGCCCUAAUGUGAGUGGCUUAUUAGAAGAGGCUCAGGUCAGAAGUGGGAUACUAGUGAGCAAGCUGCUGCUAGAGGUAAUGAGGCAAGAAACAGGAUUUUAACAACAUUAGAGAUCUCGUUAAUUCAAACUAAUGGAAAAAAUUGCAGUAACAUAAAAUGUAAAUCUCUCCAACUUUUAAAUUUAUAAUUGGCAGAGAAGGAGAAGCUAUUGAAGAUCUUGAUGCUUUGAAACUGUAUGAGAGGUGUUGUUAUCAAAAGAACUAGCUAGG